rnacentral:lncRNA from 1 species
GCAGCACCGCCGGGCGCCCGUCGGGCUCUGGGCGAGAGAGAGAAAUCCGGUUAAAAUCAGAGUCGGAGGGAGGUUUAACCACAGAUCGGUUCCGAUCGGAUUAUUCCUUAAAGGGGACGCGCCAUUGUCAAGAGAACGGAGCCUUGGGCUCGAGGGCGGGGACCGGCGGCGCCUGAGGAUCGAGGCAGCUGCACUUGGACUGGGGACGGAUUUUAACAUUCCGUAUUCCGCUUGGUACAUGGUGAAUCACUACUGCUCUGCACCAGGGUGCCCACUUGAGUGCCUAUAAAGUACAAGCUCCAGAUCAGAAGAGCUUCUAGAUGGAUCCUUUCCAAAUUUGGUAUCUUUUCUACAAACUCUGUGCCUCAACAACCCUUUCCAAGUGAGCUGAAGCCAUUUAUUGAAUCUUGGAUGAUUAACACCUAAAUGCUUAAUUCUCAAAACUGCUCAAGAGUCCCACAGCCAGGAUUAGAUGAUCCAAUUUACCACCAAGGAAUUUCUGUCUUGAAUUCUACGAUUUGUAAAUGCUGUCUUUGAGGGACUACCUUCGAUUAUAAUUUCUUAAUCCUGUAACUGUUAGACCAGGAAUUCAAGACUGUGAUGGUCAACCAAAGAUCUUAGAAAUAUCAACACGCAAACAAGGCUUUCUGGCAUUUCCUCCUUAUAGAUUGAGCCUAGCAAUGGAUAGUGGAGUGCCAAGCUUUGCCCCUUGCUGUAUAUCUCAGAGUGAGUCCUCCGAAAGAGUUGGGCUGCUAGAAUGUCUAUUAGGAAGCAACACCUACAAAGAGAGAAGAGAUUAUUGGGUAGAGGAAACUGAAGUGUAAGGCAGGCUCAACCGCAGCAGGGAGUCUUGAGUUGCAAGAGUUUUUUCUCCUUCAUAAAAGUAAGCUUCUUGUUGGAAGCAUAUCCUUGCCUUUGUGCGCAGGUCAUUAAAGACGUUGCUUGGCAAAUAUUUGUUGGAUGAAGGAAAUCUGAGAAAGAUCUUGUGGUGUCUCUCAUAACACCUUAUCCUUACCGUCCUUUCCCCAGUUAAAAGUGCAGUUUACAACAAUGAGGUUAACAGUGACACAGGUGGUUGUCUUGUAUCUCAGGAGCAAACACAAAGGUAACUAACUUGCCCUUCAUUAUCAGCAUGUGUUGCAUACCACUCACUGUGCUCCUGGGCGCCACAGAUAAGGAAGACCUGCAAAGGGACCUGAGGAAAACCACACACAUAAGAACAUGAGACCAUAUCCAUAAAGAGGAAACAAACAAAAAAACCAACACAGAACUAGAGGGUAUUAUUGCUAAGUGAAAUAAGUCAGACAAAGAAAAAAUAUCACAUGAUUUCACUUAUAUGUAGAAUCUGAAAAACAAAACCGAGGAUGAUCUAUAAAACAGAAACAGAGAAAAAAUAGGUGCUUGUGGGAGGGGAGGAGGUAGGAAAAUGGGUGAGAUAAGUGAAGGAGAGGUGCAAACUUGAAGUUAGAAAAUAAGUAAGUUUUGAGAAUGUAAUGUACAGCAUAGGAAAUAUAGUCAAUAUUGUAACAGCUUUGUAUGGUCACAGGUGGUGACUAGACUUGUGGUGAUCAUUUUAUAAUUACAAAAAUAUUGAACCACUAUGUUGUACACUUAAAACUAAUAUAAUAUUGUAAGUUAGGAGUUCCCUGAUGGUUCAGUGGGUUAAGAAUCUGACAUUGUCACUGCUGUGGUGUGGGUUCAAUCCCUGGCCCUGGGCUUUUUGUAUGCUUCAGGUGCAGCCAAAAAAAUAGUCAAUUGUACAUGAGUUAACAAGAUGAAUGUAUGAGUUAAGAUGGAGAAAACAAAAAGCAAAAAUCCCUGGAAGAUACAGUGAUAACUUCAGGGCUGUAUAUAGCAGAUAUGGAUUAUGGUGCUAACUAGUUUGUUUUUUCUAUGUGUAGGAAGUAGGUUCAUCAGUUACGAAUUUUAUCCUUUUCUGCUUCAGGGUUAAGAGAGAAUCUACUUUUGAAAUGGAUAUUUUUUUAAGGUUGGUUGGUUUGUUCGUUUGUUUGUUUUCCUAGUUGGUUCUGUUCAGCUUUAGGCAAAAAAUUUAAGUCUUUUACUUCCUUGUUUUUCCCCCCUUUUACUGUAGGAUUCCAUGAGAUAGGAUUUGCAUUAAUAAAUCCUCUAAAUUUUCUCUGAACCCUAAUACUGUAUUAAUGCUUUACAUGUAGAGGACCUUCACUUAUCAUCUUUUAAAUGAAUGAAAUAAAGAAUAAUUGACUUUAUCAUUCAUGUGGCAGAAGAGUAAGAUUAAAAACUCAGCAAUUCAGACCAGAAAUUUACUUGUCUUUACAAUAAUUUUCCCUAGUAUCUGUGUAGACAGUUUUAUACAUCAUCUUUUAAAAUAUGUAAAUUGUUUUCUUCAUGUUGCAUGUUGGAAGAAUGAGAUUGUGUUUGUGUUUCACUAAGUGAAUUAGAUUUUUAUUAUUAACAUGUAGAUCCUUCAGAAUUAUCACUUUGAUUACUUAGGCAAGUUUACACCUUAUCUGUUCCUUUUUUUUCCCCCCAUUUCUUUCUUGGUCACUUAGUACCCCUGCCAGAGGGCAGGCAAAGGAAGGGAGAGAAGAAGAUAUUAAUUUAAACUCACAAAGUCUUAUGUAGGCAUUUUUCACUAGCAUAUUUUGUCAUGCUUCUGGAUCACAGUAUGGCAGUAGGAUCAGCUGCUUUUGCUAUUUUAAGAUUUUAGUAGAAUGCUCAGUUAUUUGGAAAUAAAUUAUGUAUGGCCGAUGACUGGGUUUAUUGAAUUAAAUAUUUAUACUUUAAACUCUUCAGCUUUAUAUUCCUAGAUUCAUGUAUUUUAAAUUAUCUUUUUUUUUUUUUUUGUAAUUCAUGCUAAGGUUUCCUUUGCUCCUGUUGAUACUUAUAAUUGAUUAUAAUGAAGAGGUUUUUUUUUUUUUUUUUCCUUUUGGUCUGUGUUUGUACACUGGGAUAUUCAUAAGACAGUAUAGUUUUAAAUUAUUCCUUUUCACAUGCUUUAAAACUUCAUGUUCCUGCAGUCUGUUAGUGAAUUUUCAGAAUGAUAAGAAUUAUCUUUUGAAUAGAAGUUACUGUUUGACAUGUUAAGAAUAUUUAAAAGUAAGACACACCUCAGACCAAAGUAAAUUUAUCUUACCAUUAUCACAGUGUAGGUUUUCAAAGUCUAAAUGUUAAACUAGGUGGAUUCUGAGCAUUUUAUAGUCUUCAUAUUGCAGUUAACACCCACUGUACACAUACGCGAAUGUAUAUACAUGAAGGGCACUUGCAUAGCCUAUAGCUGUUUGGUUUGUUAUCAGCGCGAACAGUAAAUGUCCUAAAAAUCAGCUUCGAAACAGCUGGCAGUCAACCCGGGGGUGUUAGCACCACCUAAAUUCACAUGACGUUUCUCUGCUCUUUGACACAAAGAGUGCACCUUACUUGCUCACCAAGGAAGUUGGCACAAGCACCUCUCUGUGUGCUCGUGGGUCCAGUAACAUAGAAGAAGCCUAAAAUGGAUUUUUUGAAGAGAGUUGUUCCUCCCAUUCUUUCGGGAGAUGGGGUUUUGGCCACUCAAGAGAGUUUUCCAGAAAGUUCUUUAAGAUUACUGAAGUUGAAACGUCUUAGUUUGCUUUCAUCAGAGAAGACGAUAGAUGAGGAAGAUGGAAUUAAUUUCUGCCCUAGUCGUUAUGAUAAACACCAACAUCAACAACUAGGUAAAGUAAGCGUGUAUUUUCGAUCCACUAAAAAGUAUUUUAGGAAAGUAUAAUUAUUUUUAGAAGUAAGAACUCUAGUGAGCAAAGCUUUUAUUUUGAAAAUUGUUUAAAUAUUAAAUUUAAAAAUAUGAGAAAUAUGGAGUUGGCCUAAAUUUUUCAGUAUCAAAAUUUUUUCUUUGUGUUUAGAUGGAGAAAUUGUGAUUGCUAUAAAUCAAGGUAAAGCCAUUAAUAAAGUUAACAGUUUGAUAACCUUGGAAAAUAUUUUUAUGAUGAAGUGUUUACUUAUUGAAAAAAAUGUUACUGUUACAACCUGUAGGGUAUGUAGGUGAAAAAUAAGAUAAGAGUUUUAUCUGUCACAACAGAGAUCACUUAAAGUUUUUAAAAAGUCCCAUUCGUUUGUUCCAAAGAUAGAGAAUAUUUGGGGUGAAAUACUUAAAAAGUGAUGUUUUUAAAAAUAAUGAUGAUUGUUUGUGUCACAGUAACUUUGUUUCACAUAAUUCUGCCAAGUUGAAUAUGAUGCCUUUUAAAGUUUAUGAGGAUCAUAUCCAUUAUGUGUUUGGAGAAAAAUCAGACUUAUAUGUAUAGUAACUAGCAAAUAUUAAAAGAAAGGAAAGUCCAUUGGGAAGAUGAUGGAAAAAUGCCUAAAUUUUAAAAUGUUGACUAGAACACUUUAAAAUGUUAAAACGAUCUGUGUGCUUAUGAUUUUUUUUUUUUGAAAUUUUAGGGAAUAUAUAACUGCUCAGAUAAACUAAUAUUUAGUAGAAAGAAGAGAUUUUCGGUUAACUCUCUUCAACUUUGAUAUAUAUUAUAUCUGUUUUCUAUGCAUAUUUUAAUAUGUACAUAUACAUUCUUAUUUAUGGAAUUUAAAAAUGAGAUUUACUAUCCAGCUGUUCUGCUUUUUAAUUUAAUUUAUCAUAAGCAUCUUUCUCUCAUUUAAAAUUCACUCCAUUGUGUGGGUAUAAGUUUUUUCAGUCAGUUCCUUUAUUGACAAACACUUAGGGAUUUUAAUUUUUAGUUAUUAAAAAUAAUUAUGUAAUAUCCAUUUAUUUUAUUACUUUAUUAUCCAUUUAUUGUAUUACUUUAUACUUUGAUUGCGUCUUUGUAUAAAUUUCUGUGUACAUGUAAAAUUUUUGAUAGCGAUGCCAAGUUAUCUUUCAAAAAUUUCUCAAUUUAAGCUCUCCAGGGCAGUAUCCCCAUUUCUUUGUAUUCUCCCUAACACUCUGUCUUGUCAAUUUAAAAAAUAGGGUCAUGUUUAGACGAAACCAUACUUUUCUGUGUUAUAUAAAAGAGAGGAGAAGGAGCUUUUAAGCUUUAAAAGGAAAUAAAUAUUAACCUCUAGAAAGUACUGGUAUUAGAAGUCACUUUUUUAAAUACUCUUCACGCAUUUGGGUGGAUAAAGUGGAAGUGAGGCCACUGAGAGGUUAGUGCUUCUUUCUUUUUUUUUUCCUUUGACUUUUGUCUUUUCUAGGGUCGCACCUGUGGCAUAUGGAGGUUCCCAGGCUAGGAGUCAAAUCAGAGUUGUAGCCGCCAGCCUAUGCCAGAGCCACAGAAACACAGGAUCCAAGCCACGUCUGCGACCCGCACCACAGCUCAGGGCAACGUUGGAUCCUUAACCCACUGAGCAAGGACAGGGAUCGAACCCUCAACCUCAUGGUUCCUAGUCAGAUUCUUUAACCACUGCGCCAAGAUGGGAACACUGGGUUAGUGUUUCUUAAUUUCACUUAAACUCUGCAAAUCAAUUAGCAUUUAGUUUUGUGUUCACCAGUGUAUAUAUAUAUAUGUGCAUAGGUGAAAAAUACUAUAGAUUAAUAUGUACAGUUAUCUCAGUUAUUAAAAAUUUACUGUUUAACUUUGUCUUGAAUCAUUUAGUUGUUUUCUUCAUUGUACCAUAACAUAGAUAAGGGACUUGGUGUUUCAAUGUAAUAUGCCAUGCGCAUCAUUAGUUUAAUAUAGCUCUUUUUGUAAGACUUCCUUCCAUAUUUUUGAACAUAGCGUAGGUUAUUAAAGUAUAAUAAUGAGAUUUUAUAACAUUAAUUUGCAAAUAAGCACUCAAUUUAAUGAUUAAGAUUUAAUGUAUAUCUUUUUACCAAUCAGUUAAAAGAAAGCAGAAUCUGUUAUUUGAAAUUUCAGAGGCUACAGGUUCUUAGUGGAAUAAUUCUUGCCCAAUUUUUCUCUUCACAAGUAAAAUUCAGGAGUUGCCAUUGUGACUUAGUGGUAAUGAACCCAACUAGUAUCCAUGAGGAUGCAGGUUUGAUCCCUGGCUUCACUCAGUGGGUUAAGGAGCUGGCGUUGCUGUGAGCUGUGGUGUAGGCUGCAGACAUGAAUCGGAUCCUGCAUUGCUAUGGCUGUGGUAUAGGCUGGCAGCUGCAGCUCCAAUUCAACCCCCACCCUGGGAACUUCCAUAUGCC